ensembl:processed_transcript
CCGUUCACGAGGCUCUAAAUAUACUGUAUUUUUCUCACUGUUUGGUCAAACAGGAGGAAUUACAGCAGCAUUAUUAACUGACACACUAUAGUAAAGAUGGAGACUGAGGAAGAACCCUGCAGAAUAAAAGAAGAAGAAACAGAGGAACUGAUAG